rnacentral:rRNA from 1 species
UGCCAGCCGCCGCGGUAAGACCAGCACCUCAAGUGGUCAGGAUGAUUAUUGGGCCUAAAGCAUCCGUAGCCGGCUCUGUAAGUUUUCGGUUAAAUCUGUACGCUUAACGUACAGGCUGCCGGGAAUACUGCAAAGCUAGGGAGUGGGAGAGGUAGACGGUACUCGGUAGGAAGGGGUAAAAUCCUUUGAUCUAUUGAUGACCACCUGUGGCGAAGGCGGUCUACCAGAACACGUCCGACGCUGAGGUGCGAAAGCGUGGGUAGCAAACAGGAUUAGAUA